AUAUUGGACAAUGGGGGCAACCCUGAUCCAGCCAUCCCGCGUGUGUGAAGAAGGUCUUCGGCUUGUAAAGAACUUUAAUUUGGGAGGAAGGGCUUUAGCCUAAUACCCUUAAGUUUGGACGUUACCAACAGAAUAAGCACCGGCUAACUCUCUGCCAGCAGCCGCGGUAAUACAGAGGGUGCAAGGGUUAAUCGGAAUUACUGGGCGGAAAGCGCGCGUAGGUGGGUCAGUAAGAAGGGGGGGAAACCCCCGGGCUUAACCUGGGAACGGCUUUAAUAACUGCUGAGCUAGAGUACGGUAGAGGGUAGGGGAAUUUCCUGUGGAGGGGUGAAAUGGGUAGAUAUAGGAAGGAACACCAGGGGGGAAGGCGACUACCUGGACUGAUACUGACACUGAGGUGCGAAAGCGUGGGGAGCAAACA
rnacentral:rRNA from 1 species